rnacentral:rRNA from 1 species
GACGAACGCUGGCGGCGUGCCUAAUACAUGCAAGUAGAACGCUGAAGGAGGAGCUUGCUUCUCUGGAUGAGUUGCGAACGGGUGAGUAACGCGUAGGUAACCUGCCCGGUAGCGGGGGAUAACUAUUGGAAACGAUAGCUAAUACCGCAUAAUAGUAGAUGUUGCAUGACAUUUGCUUAAAAGUUGCAAUUGCAUCACUACCAGAUGGACCUGCGUUGGAUUAGCUAGUUGGUGGGGUAACGGCUCACCAAGGCGACGAUACAUAACCGACCUGAAAGGGUGAUCGGCCACACUUGGACUGAGACACGGCCCAGACUCCUACGGGGGGCAGCCGUAGGGAAUCUUUGGCAAUGGACGGAAGUCUGACCGAACAAAGCCGGGUGGGUGAAGAAGGUUUUCGGAUCGUAAAGCUCUGUUGUAAGAGAAGGAAGAGUGUGAGAGUGGAAAGUGCACACUGUGACGGUAUCUUACCAGAAAGGGACGGCUAACUACGUG